rnacentral:rRNA from 15 species
UAUUUACAACCGUACCUAGAUACUACCACAAGUAAGCAAGUAGAGUAUACAAAGGCGUUUGAGUUAACAAUCAUUAAGGAACUCGGCAAAAUGACACCGUAACUUAGGGAUAAGGUGUGCCAUUCUUUUUAAGUAAUAUUAAGUUAAGAAUAGGAGGCAUAGAGUGGUGUUGU